rnacentral:rRNA from 1 species
GUGAGUCAUCGAGUCUUUGAACGCACCUUGCGCCCCUUGGUAUUCCGAGGGGCAUGCCUGUUUGAGUGUCUUGAAACCAUCAAACCUAACCGGUCUUUGUUGGCCGGCGCGGUUUGGUACGUGGGGGUCUCUUGGCUGCCGUUAGCGGUGGCUCCCUUAAAUUCAUCGGUCGGGCUUUCGUGCGGCUCUGUCCCUUGGCGUUGUAUUACCCUCGUCGCUGGACGGCUCGCGAUACAGUGCCCGACUUCGACCUGCCUAUGGAGUGGCGGUCUUCAACGCGAUUUUUGUGAUCUGACCUCAAAUUCAGGUAGGACUACCCGCUGAACUUAAGCAUAUCAAUAAGCGGAGG